CCUGCGGAAGGAUCAUUACCGAGUUGAUUCGAGCUCCGGCUCGACUCUCCCACCCUUUGUGUACCUACCUCUGUUGCUUUGGCGGGCCCGCGGUUCGGCCUCGUGCCGUCCAGCACCCGCCAGAGGACCACAAAACUCCAGUCAGUGAACGUCUCAGUCUGAAAAACAAGUUAAUAAACUAAAACUUUCAACAACGGAUCUCUUGGUUCUGGCAUCGAUGAAGAACGCAGCGAAAUGCGAUAAGUAAUGUGAAUUGCAGAAUUCAGUGAAUCAUCGAAUCUUUGAACGCACAUUGCGCCCCUUGGUAUUCCGGGGGGCAUGCCUGUUCGAGCGUCAUUUCAACCCUCAAGCUCUGCUUGGUAUUGGGCUCCGUCCUCAGGGACGCGCCUCAAAGACCUCGGCGGUGGCGUCUUGCCUCAAGCGUAGUAGAAAACACCUCGCUUUGGAGCGCACGGCGUCGCCCGCCGGACGAACCUUUGAAUUUUUCUCAAGGUUGACCUCGGAUCAGGUAGGGA
rnacentral:rRNA from 1 species